AGCGAACGCUGGCGGCAGGCCUAACACAUGCAAGUCGAACGAACUCUUCGGAGUUAGUGGCGGACGGGUGAGUAACACGUGGGAACGUGCCUUUAGGUUCGGAAUAACUCAGGGAAACUUGUGCUAAUACCGAAUGUGCCCUUCGGGGGAAAGAUUUGUCGCCUUUAGAGCGGCCCGCGUCUGAUUAGCUUGUUGGUGGGGUAAUGGCCCACCAAGGCGACGAUCAGUAGCUGGUCUGAGAGGAUGACCAGCCACAUUAGGACUGAGACACGGCCCAAACUCCUACGGGAGGCAGCAGUGGGGAAUCUUGCGCAAUGGGCGAAAGCCUGACGCAGCCAUGCCGCGUGGAUGAUGAAGGUCUUAGGAUUGUAAAAUCCUUUCACCGGUGAAGAUAAUGACUGUAGCCGGAGAAGAAGCCCCGGCUAACUUCGUGCCAGCCGCCGCCGUAAUAC
rnacentral:rRNA from 1 species